rnacentral:lncRNA from 1 species
UCUUUGAAAAAAAAACAGGAAAAAAGGUGAAGAGAGGUUUAGCUUCUGCGGAAGGGAAAAGAGCAGAAAAAAGGAAAAACUGCAGAAAAAAGAAAAAGUUAGAACGAGAGAGAGAGAGAGAAAGAGGAGAAAAGUAAAAAGCAGAGGUGAUUUGACCCUCACUGUUCAUCAUCUCCCCAAGCUCGCUGCUCACCCUCUGUUCCGCUCCGCGAAGCCCGACGUCCUCCUCCACCUCGUUGUCCGUUCGCCGCCGGUCUCGCCGCUCCGUCCGCUCCUCGACGCCUGCGCUUGAGAUCUGCUCGCGACCCAGCACUCGGCGUUCCCUGCUCCCGUCGUGACCGGCGCUAGCUGAGCCUCCCUCGCCACACGAAGCCCGCCGUCGCUACCGUCGGCCAUCGUCCCUCGAGACCUCCGCCCACGACACCCGAGUUCAGCUC